rnacentral:rRNA from 1 species
AUACGGAGGAUGCGAGCGUUAUCCGGAUUUAUUGGGUUUAAAGGGUGCGCAGGCGGCACGUCAAGUCAGCGGUCAAAAUGCGGCGCUCAACGCCGUACCGCCGUUGAAACUGGCGGGCUCGAGUGCGUGGGAGGAUGGCGGAAUGCGCGGUGUAGCGGUGAAAUGCAUAGAUAUCGCGCAGAACCCCGAUUGCGAAGGCAGCUGUCCAUCACGCCACUGACGCUCAUGCACGAAAGCGUGGGUAUCGAACAGGAUUAGAUACCCUGGUAGUCCACGCGGUAAACGAUGAUAACUAGUUAUCCGGCCUAAUUGAGGGCUGGGUGACCGAGCGAAAGCGUUAAGUCAUCCACCUGGGGAGUACGCCGGCAACGGUGAAACUCAAAUGAAUUGGCGGGG